rnacentral:rRNA from 1 species
UACGAGCGGCCCAAACGUUAUUCGGAAUUACUGGGCGUAAAGCGUGCGCAGGCGGUCUGUUAAGACCGAUGUGAAAUCCCCGGGCUCAACCUGGGAACUGCAUUUGUGACUGCAUGGCUAGAGUACGGUAGAGGGGGAUGGAAUUCCGCGUGUAGCAGUGAAAUGCGUAGAUAUGCGGAGGAACACCGAUGGCGAAGGCAAUCCCCUGGACCUGUACUGACGCUCAUGCACGAAAGCGUGGGGAGCAAACAGG